rfam:Bacillus pseudofirmus OF4 plasmid pBpOF4-01, complete sequence.
UCUAACUUUAUAUCUGAUAAGAACGACUGGAAGUGGUCGUUCGGACUGAAGAUUGGCAGUCUAAAAACCCUAAGAAUCCGACGUGCGAUUAACUUUCACCAGUUAAUGGUACGAAGCUCGGUAAAGUUGGCGAAAAGUAGACCUGAGAAGUGGUUAGCGAAGUAGUCUGGGGCCAUAAAA